GAUGAUGUGGUUUAAUUCGAUGCAACGCGAAAAGCGUGACCCACCUUUGACAUGUACGGAGUUCGCCAGAGAUGGCUUAGUGCUCGAAAGAGAGCCGUAACACAGGUGCUGCAUGGCUGUCGUCAGCUCGUGUCGUGAGAUGUUGGGUUAAGUCCCGCAACGAGCUCAACCGUUGUCAUUAGUUGCUACAUUCAGUUGGGUACUCUAAUGAGACUGCCGGUGACAAACCGGAGGAAGGUGGGGAUGACGUCAAGUCCUCAUGGCCCUUAUAGGUGGGGCUACACACGUCAUACAAUGGCUGGUACAAAGGGUUGCCAACCCGCGAGGGGGAGCUAAUCCCAUAAAACCAGUCGUAGUCCGGAUCGCAGUCUGCAACUCGACUGCGUGAAGUCGGAAUCGCUAGUAAUCGUGGAUCAGAAUGUC
rnacentral:rRNA from 1 species